CCUUCCUUCCCUCCUCCUCCCUCUUCUCCCCACUCCGUUUCCUAUCCCCUCUAACCCCUCUCCCGUCUCCCGCCUCCCCUCCUCCCCACUUCCCUCCUCCCGCUUCCCGUCUCCCCCUCCCCUUCCUGCUCCGGUUGGAGCAGAGCACCGGAGGCUGGCGGGGAGGGGCCGCCGCCCGGAGGUGACCGGCUGCCACGCUCUCGCGUUUCCUCCCCGCCUUAAAUAAGAAUAAUCGUCUAAGUCAGCGGGGCUGGGAUUAAAAAAACACUCGUCGCUGGCAGUCUGGCACCCCCAACCGGGACCACGGAAAUCUUCCUCCAGAGGACUGGGGACGCUGGAGUUGGGGGGAAGGUGGAAGCUGGGCCAGGAGGGGGCUGCCGUCCCAGGAGGGCCCCGGCUGGAGCCAGAGGCCACACUGCUUCCAGGGGACCUUGCUGAGCCUCAGUUUUCUGCUCUGUGGGAUGGGGCCAAAGACUAACUUCCUGUUCUCUAGGGCCACACCAGCUCUCAAAUCUGUUUGUGAGUCUAGAAGUUUUCAAGGCCCCUCUGAUCAAUCCCCACAGCUGAUCAGGCAAAAAGGAGGAACAGGGGAAUGAGUCUUCAGGGUAUGAUGUGAGUUCCUAAAGCCAGGCAAGAGUAGGGAAAAGCCCGCCCAGCACCCAGGCACAGUGGGCCACACCACUCUCAGUCUGUGGCCUGGAGCACAGGCUCCGUUUCCUCACCUGCAAACUGAGCCGUGAUGCCUCCCUCCCCUUGACAGAGGACAAGGGCCCUCCCCCUGCGACCUGCUGCCCACGUCAGCGGCUAAGUGGCAGUUGUCCUGUGCCCAGCCAUCCCCCUCCCCGCCCAGCCUCCAGGUCACCUGCUCUAAACAGCAACAGGAAAGAGGGCCGGAACCUCUUCGCUCCCAGCAAGGAACAGUCAGCACCAGAGAAACCAAGGGCCCAGUGACUACUGCCCCAUUUUACAGAUGAGAACGCUGAAGCUCAGAGCGGGGACUUGCCUCAGAUCACGAGGCUGGACAGCGGCUGCCGGGUGCUCUCGCUUUGGCGACACAGAAGGGUGUCCUCACCCAGCUCCCUGUGCUGCCCACAGGGACAUCUUAGGUCAGAAACAACAGUGAUGUUACCCCAAAAGAGAAAAAAAAUUUUAAAGUCAACAAGACUAAACUCUGUAAAUACCAAGACACUCUUCCAAAAAGAUGCAGCAGAUAUGAAAACAACGAAGGGAAAACGUCAGAGGCUCAUUGUUCCGCAACCUGAGGAACCAAAGAACCAGACCUGUGACCCAGAGACGGAGGUGACACAGGACAGAGGCAGCGUGGACCCCUGAGCUUUCACACGGAGGACAGUUGCCCUGGAGAAUCACCUGGACUCACAGCAGACUUUUGUUGUGUUGAGACGGUUCAAUAUGGGGCUUAUUUGUUACUGCAGAACAACCUAGCCUUGCUAACUGAUACACAUUUGGAAAACCACGUUCUUGUUCAAGGGGUACCAGAGAGCUUGGACAGGUCCCUUGACUCCACCAGGCCUCAGUUUCCCCAUGUGUGUGGUGAGGCGAGGGGGCUUUUCUCCUCUUACUAGGGCCUGUGCUGCUAAUGUACCCAAACCCUAAAGGCCUGAGGAGUAUCUGCCAAUACUAAGGGCUGCUGAUGUGGAGUGCUUGCUGGACACUGGCCGCUGGCUGGGCCACCUUGGGGAUAUCACGGAAUCCUCACAGUGGCCCCAGGAGGGAGGCACUAUCAUUAUCCCCAUUUCCCCAGCAGGAAACUGAGGCUCAAGAAGGUAAGGUCACUGGCCCGGAAGCCCCAGCGUGUGUGAUUCUUAACUGCUCUAACGACAACUGCCACCUGGUAUUUUACUUUCUCUCUUAUAAACACAACUUAAAAGAAAGCCCACUGUUGACAACUUGGGAGAGCUUAGAAUAAGGAUUUUUUUUUUUAAAUUCACGACCUUAACCAUUUUUUUUUUUAACAUCUUUAUUGGGGUAUAAUUGCUUUACAAUGGUGUGUUCGUUUCUGCUGUAUAACAAAGUGAAUCAGUUAUACAUAUA